rnacentral:rRNA from 1 species
UACAGAGGUCUCAAGCGUUGUUCGGAUUCAUUGGGCGUAAAGGGUGCGUAGGCGGCGCGGUAAGUCGGGUGUGAAAUCUCGGAGCUUAACUCCGAAACUGCAUUCGAUACUGCCGUGCUUGAGGACUGGAGAGGAGACUGGAAUUUACGGUGUAGCGGUGAAAUGCGUAGAUAUCGUAAGGAAGACCAGUGGCGAAGGCGGGUCUCUGGACAGUUCCUGACGCUGAGGCACGAAGGCCAGGGGAGCAAGCGGG